rnacentral:rRNA from 1 species
UGGGGGAUAUUGCACAAUGGGCGAAAGCCUGAUGCAGCGACGCCGCGUGGGGGAUGAAGGCUUUCGGGUUGUAAACCUCUUUCGCUAUCGAACAAGGCCGGCUUAGGGUGGGUUGAGGGUAGGUGGAGAAGAAGCGCCGGCUAACUACGUGCCAGCAGCCGCGGUAAUACGUAGGGCGCGAGCGUUGUCCGGAAUUAUUGGGCGUAAAGGGCUUGUAGGCGGCUUGUUGCGCCUGCUGUGAAAACGCGGGGCUUAACUUCGCGCGUGCAGUGGGUACUGGCAGGCUUGAGUGUGGUAGGGGUGACUGGAAUUCCAGGUGUAGCGGUGGAAUGCGCAGAGAUCUGGAGGAACACCGAUGGCGGAGGCAGGUCACUGGGCCAUUACUGACGCUGAGGGGCGAAAGCAUGGGUAGCGAACAGG